CAGUAGCCGCGGGAAUACGGAGGGUGCAAGCGUUAAUCGGAAUUACUGGGCGUAAAGCGCACGCAGGCGGUCUGUCAAGUCGGAUGUGAAAUCCCCGGGCUCAACCUGGGAACUGCAUUCGAAACUGGCAGGCUAGAGUCUUGUAGAGGGGGGUAGAAUUCCAGGUGUAGCGGUGAAAUGCGUAGAGAUCUGGAGGAAUACCGGUGGCGAAGGCGGCCCCCUGGACAAAGACUGACGCUCAGGUGCGAAAGCGUGGGGAGCAAACAGGAUUAGAGACCCCAGUAGUCCCUGUCUCUUAUAC
rnacentral:rRNA from 1 species